CAGGUGUCUUUCCCUACAUUUGUUUCAUUUCAUUAAAAGAGAAACCUCUUCUCUGGAGUCUGGAUCUCUCUUCCUCUACCCCAGUCUCCCUAGUCCCCACCGCCCCUCUCAACCUGAGAAGCAAGAGGGUGAAAGCUCGUCGACGUAGGCGCUCUGGAACUUGAUACACUCGAAGAUCUAUACCUGAAGAAGUUAUGGCAUCAACCUACUCUUGCCCUAGAAAAGUUCAUUGCUCUCACAAUUUUCCAGGAAUGUUACUAGUUCAAUUGUCCGACAGGCACAACGCUGUGAGUUAUUUGUUUCUUAUGAUGGCACCACGGAGAAGCUGGCAUCAGGACUUGUAAAGCCUUUUGUUACUCAAAGGUUGCAGAAGACCAAGUUGCAUUGGUUGUGAAGUCAAUUAACUUGAGGUGGACAGAUAUAAAUAUGAAGAAACAUGGUUUACAAAGGGGACUCUUGAGAGUUUAGCAUGUUGCCUUCAGGAAUACAUUGUGAAUUAUAGCUUAGAAAAUACUUCUUUUCUUAUUUUGUUACUGGCAAGUAUAUCCUUUUGAUAUAACUUAUGUCUUCCAGGUUUGUGAGGUUUGUUGGCACUCCCGAGGUUCUGGAAAUGGUCGGUCAGCUCCAGCAGUAUUGUCUUGGAAGAAAGAAGGAAGGAUCAAUGACCUAACUAUCUCUCCACUAGUCAAGAAGGGAAUCACUGAAAAAGCUGGAUUUGACUAUUAAGGUUAUAGGUGCAGACAUUUCUGCAAUCCCAUGGAUGUCUGAUGCUAUUGAGUAUAGAUAUUUUCUCCAAACUCGUACACUCAAGAGGAGAUCGAUGAUGUUCAAGAAAAAUGGAGUAGAUAUUUUAUUAGUAGUUGUUUGUAGUCAUUUUCUAGUUUUCAGAGAUAGAAAUUAGGUUAUUUUUUGGAAUACAAUUAUUUACAAUUGUACGUUGAACCAACUUUCUUGUUUGAGUUAAUACAAAAAUAUUUUCGCAAUUCUGCAAA